UCUUUAAUAUAUAUGCUCUAGAAAUUAUGAAAGUGAAGAGAAAAAAAAAAAGAAAAGAAAACGAAAGAAUUGAGAAAUAAAGGAGAGAAAAAUCAUGCGAACUCUAAUUUGCACGAGAGAUUAAAUGAGAUCCUCUAGAUGGAUCGUAAAAUUCGAUCUUCUCAAUUCUGGUCUUAUUAAAGGGUUUGCGCAACAACGUCCUAUUAAACCCCCAUGGAAAAUAAUUAAAAUUAACCAUUCGUUCUUAGAUUCAACAUCUCGAUUACGUCGGUCAAUUUCGAUCUCUUGGUACUCACAAAUAUGCACAUGCCAGUGUUAUGUGUGUCCGCUUUAGAGUUAACGAUAGAGAUUCAGACACGUACUUGUGCCGUGGCCGUUAAUUGAAAUCAUCCGCAUUUCGCGCUCACCACGUAUAUCGGCUCCACCCUGAAACUUUCUUUUUUUUUUAGCAAUUACUAUAAACUAUAUGUACCAGGUGCGUUAAUCGUUAUACGAUUCUGAUUUUCUUUUUUUUCCUUCCUUGUUUCACUAUGAUAUUUAUAUUUCGGACAAAUAUCAUUUAUACGUUUCCCGUCGCGCUCAGUCGGCCAUGACUGAUAAACACGGAAAUCUGGUAAUAAAAGUCGCGAAAUAAAAAAACGUUUUGAAUGAAAAAAAAAAAAAAAAAAAAAAAAAAAUAACUUCGAUUCUUACACGAAUUAUUUAUACUUAUUUAUUAUUACGAUUGAAAUAUUCUAUUUAAUAUGUAUAUCGAAAAAUAAUUCAGAAUGCGACGAGAGAAAGAAAGGAAAAAAAAAGAAGAAAGAGGGAGAGAGAGAGAGAGCGAGGGGGGGGGGGGGGGUAGGUAGUCGUUUUAGGGAUACCUGUUGACUUAGGUGAGCGUAUAAUAUGAGCGCGUGAAGAAAGGUCCGGACAAAAGGAUGUGGGGAGUGGGGAGGAAUGGUCGUAAUUCGUGCCUAUAAGAUCCGAACAAGAAUUCAUCUCCCUCACCCCUCUCUUUCUCUCUCUCUCUCUCUCUCUCUCUCUCUGUCUCCCUUUCUUUCUCUCUCUUUCUCUGUCUCAUCUCAACGUUACUAUCCUCUCUUCUCUAUUUAUCCCAGAUAAACAAAGGAUAGAAGAACGCCCGUCGUGAAAGUUCCCCUGCUCUCUAAUUGUCAACGAUGUUUUUAAGAUUCUCUGAGAAAAAGUUUCAAGAGUAUCUUUUGCAAAAAUUCGAUGGGGAGGGGGAGAAAAAAAAGAAAAAACGAAAAAGGAGAAAAAAAAGAAAGAAAGAAAAAAAAAGAAAAAGAAUACAAGGUAUAUCGGAGAAAAUCGGCUUUUCCCUUGACACCGUUCAGCUUUCCCCCUUCCCCUCCUUCUGCCCUCCCCCCUCUCUCUCUCUCUCUCUCUUUUUCUGUCGCUUCUUCUCAUAGCUGUAAGCUUAGAUAACUUUAUUUUCCAUCCACGACAAAAUCGUUCUACGAGCUGGACACUUUCUUUUCUUUGGUAUAAAAGGGAAUGACUAAAAUACGUGUUGGUAAGAACGGCGGUGCCCUUGGCGUUGUAAGAGAAAGAGAGAGAGAGAGAGAAAAAAAGAAGAAGAAAAAGAAGGAGUAAGCGAAGAAGAAGAAGGAGUACUAGAAGAAGAAGAAGAAGAAGAAGAAGAAGAAGAAAAGGAAGAAAGGAGGGUCGGAAGAGUACGGAAGAGGGUCGUAGACGAGGCUGAGGUUAAUGAGUUUGCUACUGCCUGUCACGAAUAAAGGUACAGGUACUGCUGGCUGUACUGAAAUAGCUGGAAGGGGGCAAAGAGCAAACCACUCGCCGGCAAGAUGGCGCCUGUUCUAAAUUCAAAACAAGACGCUGCUUAGCAUAUACAUAUCCCGUGCUCUUGGCCGACGCGGGCGCGCGAGCGCGCGCGCUCACGCUAUGACAUUCGCAAUUCAAAUCGUACAUUUCUAUUACCAUUUUAAUUCAAGGACACUCGGUCGUCGCGAAGCAUUGGCCUCCGGUAGUUGACUACCGAUCGCCGAGUUCUUCUUUUAUCCCUUCGUUUCGAGUUUUCACAAUGAAAUCGAUUAAAAAGCAAAAACGAUAAAAAGAUAACUGAUGUAAUCCGUCAAUGUUUAUCGACGAUGAGAAAUAACACGAGUGUUUAAUCGAUAUUUGUUUGUAGAAAAUGUUAAAAAAAAAAAAAAAGAAAAAAAAGAAAACAAAAGAAAAAAGAGAAAAGUCUUUAAGCAACGACAUCGAAUUAAAUUACAGGUACCACCACAGAAACCCAUCGAAGGUAAGGGUUUAAGGAAUUGGAUGGUAUCCAUCGAACAUCUGGCGAAACCCUUUUAGAUGCGGUUCCCGGAUUUGUUCGCUAGAAAACUGACUCGUUCCCGCGAAUUUAUGUGCGACGUCAGAUUAAGGGACAACCCUCCUACCUUUCUAUCCUAUUCGAGGGCAAACCCGCCAUUGUAUGUCACUUCCGUUUACUCGGUUACGCAUAACAAGAUCCUCGGGAUUUCAUGGUUACCAUACGAAAAAAAAGAGAAUAAGAUGAGCGUGUCCGUGUCCGUAUCUUUUUCUAUGUGUGCGCGUGAAAGAGAGACACGAUUCUAAGCACGUUUUUACCAUACGUCGUUAAUGACACGUAGUUGUUGUCGAUGGCCGACAAUGUUCACGACAGAUGUUCACGCUUCGACUUUCAUAUUCUCCCUUUAUAGUUUGGAUACUAUAAAAAGAUUUCGAUCGUUUUAUUUUCUAAGAUGAAAUGCCCGAUUUUAAUCUUAGAAAAUCUUUUGGACGAAUUCAUUCAAUAUGUGGAUCGUUUAAACAAUAUCAAGAUGACCUAAAUCGGAUUUUGUUAAAAGUAAAUGGAACAAAAAAAAAUAAAUAAAUAAAUAAAAAAUAUGCAACGGCAUGUUCGAUUGAAAAUUAGAAUAAAGAUUUAUUGGCCAAUAAAAGCCAAUGAGGAAUAAAUAAAUUAUAUCACCUUCGAUUAAACGUAUUUACGGAUAAUAUUUUCAAGAACACGUAAAUGCAGCAUUUGUCCUCAUUGCAAGUGCAAUUAACGUUCUUUCGAUCACCCGUUAGAGUACCGACGUAAAGAGAGCGUGACUGACCAGACGGCCUUAAAGCUGCCUUCUAUGAUCGUUUUCUUUUUCUUUCUGGCGUUCUUAACUUCGUUUUCUUUUUCUUUUUUUCGUACGUUUUCCUUCUUAUUUCAGGAAAAAACGAAUAACUCGCGACAUUGUCGGCGAGCUCGUAAUGUCUAAAUCGUACUAAUCUCGGUGGUACAAUAAAUCCGAUUGAGAUCGUUUCUAGAGAAAAAAAAAAAAAAAAGGAACUUGUGUUG